CAGAUACACUGAAUUUAUCCCGCUUCCCUGCUAAGCAGGUGGCAAAUUGCUUCUGUGCAGAAGUGCCCCUGUCCUGUCUGUGUGCCACACGCUCGUGUUUGUUCCACAGUUCUUCAAAAAUCUGUCUUGGAAGAAGUGUUCCAGAGGAGUAGCUCAUGAAAAGAUGGAUGUGAGUGAAAAUGAAGUGGUUUGUUCCAAGGAAUUCCUUCGUUGCACAGGAUGUGUCCCACGCUUUGUUGAAUUUCCCAUGAGCCCAGUUUUAGGCAAAAACGUAAAGCUACAUUCAGGAAACCAAGCUGUAAUUAUUUUUUUGAGUUGUCAGUAAACCAUGGUGAGAAAAAUUAUGCAAUAAUUUAUAAUCGGCUGUCCCUGAACAAUGGCAAAAGGCUUAACACUGUCCCAGCAAAAAGUUCAACCUGGAAAAGAGUGAGCUAAACCAGAUUAUCCCUGAUCCUCAUGCACUGGGCUGGGAGCGGGAAGAGAAGGUGUCCUCACCUGGAAGGUGUCCUCACCUGGAAGGUGUCCUCACCUGGAAGGUGUCCUCACCUGGAAGGUGUUCUCAUCUGGAAGGUGUCCUCACCUUGGGGAAAGGGAGCACAAGUCCCAAAGAGCCCGAGCCUGGGAGGCUGGCACAGGAACCGGGAAGGAAAAAGAAUCCUCUAGAAAAACUGGUGAAGAUGGGAAAACCCAGAAGAAAUUCCAGAGUGUGAUCGACCACGGGUGAUCCACAGCCAAGCACAGAAAUGCAGGGCUGUGGGACAAGGCCGGGGAUGAGGAACAAAUCCAGAACCAAGGCCAGGGAUGAGGAACAAAGCCAGGACCGAGGCCAGGGAUGAAGAACAAAGCCAGGACCGAGGCCAGGGAUGAGGGACAAAGCCAGGACCAAGGCCAGGAGCGAGGUCCUGCCAGCAGCCAGGGUCCCACGGUGCCAUUCCCUGGGGGCAGGAAGGGAUCAGAGCUCUGGACAGGUACCUGUGCUGCUGGAGUUUAUAAAGCUAUGGAGAAAACCCCUGGAUACUGAAAUUCUUCAACCUCUUCCUGCACUUGUAUAUCGACCAUGUGUUAACCCAGCACACGGAGCUCAGCUGCAGAAACACAAGGAAGGGAGUUGGUCAGAGAAGUGUGACAUUUGAACCAGAGGGAUGCAAUGUUUUAAGGCCAAGGUUGUGGAUUUUGGUAUCAGCAUACAAUUCUAUCAUGGAAUUGAUUUAACAAGCUCCGAUUCUACCAGAUACCAAUGCCAGUGCUGGCAUUCUGGGAUGAGCUGCAUUUUUGCUUCUACGUUUCACGCCUAAAACGAGUUCAUUUUGAGUUCUACUGAAAUACUUCAUGUCUUAAAAUACUGUAUUUGCUGCAGGGAGCCCUGCAGGUGGUGGUCGAGGUGACAAAGGGCACCUUAGGAAGUGGCUUGAGUCCAUCUCCUGCCUCUUCAUUCGGGAUGUGCUCUUGCCCGGUGUGUCCGUGUGUCUCAAAUACCGGUUCUGUUUUCCCAUUAACUUCCCUGAUCCUGGGGGUUUUAAGUACAAAGCCAAUUGUACAGGACAGGUCUGUGUGUAAAUAAGGGAUUGUGCUUAUCUAUAUGUCACUAUAAAUAUGUAUGACGUUUUGUACAUAGGAAAGAAGAAACGGCUCAAAGAAUGAAUGUUUUCAGAGCUGUGUCCUCCCUUUAAAUGCACAGACAGGAGAUUGCCACCCAUGUGCUCCCUCACUCUCCGGGAAGGGAUCCCGCUCGUUCUUCGGCUGCCCCGCGUCCCGCCGGCUCUGUGAGGAGUUUGUGGUGGCCCGGGGCCGGGCUGGGCUCUGUGAGGAGUUUGUGGUGGCCGGGGCUGGGCUGGGCUCUGGGAGGGUUUGUGGC
ensembl:lncRNA